UACAGAGACUGCAAGCGUUAUUCGGAUUCACUGGGCGUAAAGGGUAUGUAGGUGGUCUCAUUUGUCUCAUGUGAAAGCCUUGAGCUUAACUCAAGAAGUGCGUGAGAAACGGUGAGACUAGAGUACUGGAGAGGCUAGUGGAAUUCCCGGUGUAGCGGUGAAAUGCGUAGAGAUCGGGAGGAACACCAGAGGCGAAGGCGGCUUUCUGGUCUGUAACUGACGCUGAGGCGCGAAAGCGUGGGGAGCAAACAGG
rnacentral:rRNA from 1 species